AGUGAACGCUGGCGGUAGGCCUAACACAUGCAAGUCGAACGGCAGCACAGGAGAGCUUGCUCUCUGGGUGGCGAGUGGCGGACGGGUGAGGAAUACAUCGGAAUCUACUUUUUCGUGGGGGAUAACGUAGGGAAACUUACGCUAAUACCGCAUACGACCUACGGGUGAAAGCAGGGGACCUUCGGUCCUUGCGCGAUUGAAUGAGCCGAUGUUGGGUUAGCUAGUGGGCGGGGUAAAGGCCCGCCAAGGCGACGAUCAGUAGCCGGUCUGGGAGGAUGAUCAGACACGCUGGAACUGGAACACGGCACAGACUCCUACGGGAGGAAGCAGUGGGGAAUAGUGGCCAAUGGGCGCAAGCCUGAUUCAGCCAUACCGCGUGGGUGAAGAAGGCCCUCGGGUUGUAAAGCCCUUUUGUUGGGAAAGAAAUCCAGCUGGCUAAUACCCGGUUGGGAUGACGGUACCCAAAGAAUAAGCACCGGCUAACUUCGUGCCAGCCGCCGCCGUAA
rnacentral:rRNA from 1 species